AUAAUCAAUAUACUAAUCUUACAUGAUAUGUUCUGUGUUGUGGUAAUAGGGAUUUUUCACAUGUCUUUUUUAUGGGAAAUAAGGACGUACUGGGCAAGCACAAUAUGGGUAUAUGCAAUAUAUUAAUUAUGAAAGUUGUGGGGUUGGAGCCCAUCAAUCUAGUGAGGGCUUAGCUUAAUUAAAGUGUUUGAUUUGCAAUCAAUUGAUGUAAGAUAGAUUUUUACAGUCCUUAGGGUUGGGCGUACAGAAGUUAAGUCUGUGUGACUUGCUCAAAGCUUUGAAGGCUCUUGGUCUAGUUCUAACCUAAAUUUCUAAUCCAAAAUAGAUAGUAUUGGUGCAAGUGGUAGCAGUAUAGUUGAUAUUACAAUGAGAGGGGGCAAGAGGGUUAUUUUUAUUUUUGUACUUUUGAAUCGUCAUUUUAUUUUUAUAC